GGUCCAAAAGGGGGAUGGGAGGGCGAGCAGAAAGCAGAAAAACCAGCUUUGAACGAUGCAUGCAAGGCCUCUCAAGCCUCAAAUCCCGGUUUGACUAUGAGGGAUGUGCCACGGAAGCUUCUGGAGAGCAGCAUUUCCCGUGGCCCUCACGUACACCCCGUUCCGUGCCCCCCACCUCUACAGCUGUCUCACAGUGACGCCUUCCAGGGAAAGCAUACGCAGGAUCACCUGGAUCUCUCCGUGCACCCUCCCAGCAAACACCAGGACAGUGAGUUACACCCAGAAAGGAGUUAUCCUCUUCCUUGGGUUCCUCCAUCACUGUUUUCUUCUCUACUUGAAAGCAAACUGCCUGUAAAGACAGCCCACUAACUGUAUUUAGAAGUGGUAUUUCUGAAUUAAAAUUUCAAACUUCA